rnacentral:tmRNA from 2 species
GGGGGCGUUCUGGUUUCGACUGGAUGCUGGCAACGCUAGCUGCAUGUAGAGGUUGAUCGGUUGGCCUCUUUAAAAAGCCGCUCAAAACACAUAAUUGCAGACUCUAACGAGCUCGCACUUGCUGCUUAAUUGACAGUGACGGCCCCCUGGUAAUGUCUACUAACCAGAUCGCCGACUACUUAGUAGACUGGCUAGCCAAGUCGGGGUUCCGGAUGAAGCGGCGAGAAUUUACAGGAGCAUCGGAUUGUUGAACGGGCUGGAUGAGGCUCGGCUUUCUUAAAUCAGAGACGUCCAGCUAUACAUGUAGACGCUUUUGAGAAAGGCUUCUAGGACACGGGUUCAAUUCCCGUCGCCUCCACCA